rnacentral:rRNA from 1 species
GACGAACGCUGGCGGCGUGCCUAAUACAUGCAAGUUGAGCGCUGAAGGUUGGUACUUGUACCAACUGGAUGAGCAGCGAACGGGUGAGUAACGCGUGGGGAAUCUGCCUUUGAGCGGGGGACAACAUUUGGAAACGAAUGCUAAUACCGCAUAACAACUUUAAACACAAGUUUUAAGUUUGAAAGAUGCAAUUGCAUCACUCAAAGAUGAUCCCGCGUUGUAUUAGCUAGUUGGUGAGGUAAAGGCUCACCAAGGCGAUGAUACAUAGCCGACCUGAGAGGGUGAUCGGCCACAUUGGGACUGAGACACGGCCCAAACUCCUACGGGAGGCAGCAGUAGGGAAUCUUCGGCAAUGGACGAAAGUCUGACCGAGCAACGCCGCGUGAGUGAAGAAGGUUUUCGGAUCGUAAAACUCUGUUGGUAGAGAAGAACGUUGGUGAGAGUGGAAAGCUCAUCAAGUGACGGUAACUACCCAGAAAGGGACGGCUAACUACGUG